UUCUCUCCCUCUUGGCCGGCCACUCCCUUCCCCAUUUAGCCAAAAAAAAAAAUUCAGCUUCAUCUUCUUCAUUUUGCUCCUUAAAACUUGCUCCAACCUAGCCCAUUCUCUUGGAUCAUCCUCAAGCUUAGUAGAGGACUUGGAGGAGGAGAGAUUCUUGGUGGUUUAGAGUUUGAUUUCUUGUGGUUUUGCCUACUACUCUUGGAGGAAAGGUAACUUUCAAAGCUCUCAUUUUUCUUCCAUCUUAUGGUUAGUUUUUAGUUAGUUUUUAACUAGUUAAGCUUGGAUUGUUGAUGGGUUCCUUGAACCUUGACUUUAGGUAGAUGUCUUGAGGAAGAUUCUUAGGUAGUGGCUUUGAGAAUUUCUUGUUUGCUUGGUUGUUGUUUUAAUGAUAUCUAGCUCGGUUUUGGGUGUAAGAGUUGGAGAGAAAAUUUGAAGAGAAAGUGGAGCAAGGCUGUCCGAUUUUUGCUGGUUCAUUUCCCUUGAUUUAAUUUCGAAUUUUGUGGUUAUAUUGAUACUAAAAUGCUUGCUACAUGUUGGGUUAUGUGUGUGUAAAUAAUCUUCCAAAAAUCACUUCAUUUGAUUGGGUGAAAGUUAAGUUUAAAGGAGAGAAACAAACCUAGAAAUUUCUGAUCAGGAUAGCAAACCUAGGAGACUUCCUGACAGUUAGAUAUGCCCACGCCUAACUCCAACCUUCAAAGCCAGAUUCUCGUGACUUUUCGCACGUGGGGAGCUUCAAAAAGGGAGUGAAGUGGCUGGCUACAAAUUUGGAAAUCGGUGGGGCCACUCCAGAGUUGAAGAAAGUAAUUUGUAAUAGGAUUUCGAUUAUUUAGGAAGUUUGGUAUUCGAAUACCAAUUUUAGUGGAGAAAAACUAGGACUAGGGUGCAUUUCUUUCUCUGGUGAGCCUAACCGAAAAAGAAAAUCAAUUCCUUCACCUUUUUGGGGGCUACCAAUGGAGAGAAGGUUGUACUUUUUUUUGGGUUUUGACUUUUCUUACCUUUGUGGGGAACAAUUGGAGAGAGCCACCAUUGUUGACUUGUUGAAUUUGCUUUUUCCUUUGAUUUUGACCGAAUUGACAAAGCAUCAAACUCACUCGUAUGCUUUUGUUGGAGACAAUAGAAAGCAAUGAUUUCUCUUGUUCUUUUCUUUCUCUAUUGAUCGAAAAUGAAAGAGUAAAUCCGACAACUUUUUCCAAUUUUCUACGCAUGGCUUGUUCUCCAUUAAUGGAGAACUAACUUCCUAAUUCUAGUCAAAGGGACAACUGAAAAUUUGGUUCGGCAAUUAUUGUGAAAUCUAAAUUAUUUUAAUUAUUUUCUUCAUUUAUUGGUAUUUAUAUAUUUUCUGUUUUUAAUUGUUAUAGCUAUUGUAUAUGAUUGAAUAGUGCGCAAUAUUUAAUUAUACACGUAGGCUAUUUAGCUAAUUAGGGGUAGUUGGAUCCGUGAUUAUUCGAUUACCUCUGUCCCGGUAGCAACUGGCAUAAUUGGGUUUAUGUCAGGGAAACAUAUGAUCGAGUUUAAAUAAACCCUCAUAGCGUGUUUAUUAGUUAGGAUUGGACUUUUCUAAUUCUUAAUGCAAACUAGAAAUUAAAUCCUACGGUCGUACCUAGGCUUAUUUUUUGGUUAGAAAAAUAGUUAAUGGUCAUACAUUGACUAUCGAAAAAGUAAAGAAAAACUGAUUGUUUGUCGCGUGUAUGAUAGCUAUAACCAAUCUAUUAAUAAAUGUAUGAAUUAUAUGUGAAUCGAUGAUCAGUUACAUGAACCAUCUCUGAAGUGUACCCUUAGCUAGAGUUUCCCCAAUUAUUUCUGUCAAUUAAUUAUUUUUCGCAUUUGAUUUAUCUAGUUAUCAAUUCAUUAGCAAUUAAUCCUAAAACCCCCUCCCCCAUUUGUCUUGACUCAAGAGGGAACAAAUCUCUCCCCAAUCCCUGAGGAGACGACCCUGCUUGCCACUGUCUACUAGUUAGUAAAUUUUGUUAGCUAAUUAAUUUUGGUAUAUCAGGUUAAACAAACUUUUCGAGAACAGGGUGAAUCAAGUAACCCAUUGCACACCUAGAGUCCCUGCUCCAGUACCUGGAAUUAAUUAUUGACUGCUUUUGGUGGUAGUAGAUUUUAUUAUUAUUAUUGCACAUGUUCGACACUUGUCACUAAACUCGUAACUCGAGCAGGCAAGGGUUUGGUCGAGAAGAUUAGUGAACCAUGGGAAAUUAUAAAGAUUGAUCUUUUGAGAUCUUGUUGGCAUACUCGAGUAGUAUUGCCAUCUCGUGCUUGCUUGGUUCCGGAUCUGAGAGGGUGAUAUGAUGGAUGGAAGAAGUAAGUGGAACUACGGACAUUUUACUACUUGAGUUGAUGGAGGGUCAACCAAAGAUGGAUUGAACCGGUCGAGACGUGGAAAUAACUCCUGAGGGCUCCUGUAUCCUUUUACGUGUGUUUUAUUUCUUAUUUGUGCACUUAAAUGAAAUUUCAUGUUAAAUCGUUUUAAGUGUGAUAUUUGAUUUAAUUUGUUCUAUUUGUUUGCUUGCUUGAUUUUUUUGGCCUCAUUGAGCGUUAGCUCAUCCCUUUAAAUUUGUUUUUCCUUAACAGGUUUUGGAAGUGGAAGUUGGGGACUCUAGACUAACGGCUUUUGGUUGAAGCUAGUGAACCUUUCGUAUAUUAUUGGAGACAUUUGAAGUAUAAAUUUUGUUAUACUCGGAGUUUUUGGAUUGUAAUUGUAAAUGAUAGACUUAGAAGAAUUUGGCUCGUAUAUUUGCAGUAUUUCUUUAAUUCUAAAUCUAUGAUUGACUUGUGAAUUGCU
rnacentral:lncRNA from 1 species